rnacentral:rRNA from 1 species
UCAUUGCUAUUGGAGUCCGAUUUAGCCAUGCUAGUUGCACGAGUUGAGACUCGUAGCAGAUAGCUCAGUAACACGUGGCCAAACUGCCCUAUAGACGGCGAUAACCUCGGGAAACUGAGGCUAAUAGCCGAUACCGUUCACGACCUGGAGUGGUGUGAACGCGAAACGUUCAGGCGCUAUAGGAUGUGGCUGCGGCCGAUUAGGUAGACGGUGGGGUAACGGCCCACCGUGCCAGUAAUCGGUACGGGUCAUGAGAGUGAGUGCCCGGAGAUGGUCUCUGAGACAAGAGUCCAGGCCCUACGGGGCGCAGCAGGCGCGAAACCUUUACACUGCACGACAGUGCGAUAAGGGGACCCCAAGUGCGAGGGCAUAUAGUCCUCGCUUUUCUGGAGGGUAAGGACCUCCAGGAACAAGUGCUGGGCAAGACCGGUGCCAGCCGCCGCGGUAAUACCGGCAGCGCAAGUGAUGGCCGAUCUUAUUGGGCCUAAAGCGUCCGUAGCUGGCCAGGCAAGUCCAACGGGAAAUCCACCCGCUCAACGGGUGGACGGCCGGUGGAAACUGCCCGGCUCGGGACCGGAAGACCCAACGGGUACGUCCAGGGUAGGAGUGAAAUCCCGUAAUCCUGGACGGACCGCCGAUGGCGAAAGCACGUUGGGAAGACGGAUCCGACAGUGAGGGACGAAAGCUAGGGUCUCGAACCGGAUUAGAUACCCGGGUAGUCCUAGCUGUAAACGAUGCUCGCUAGGUGUGGCACAGGCUACGCGCCUGUGCUGUGCCGUAGGGAAGCCGCUAAGCGAGCCGCCUGGGAAGUACGUCCGCAAGGAUGAAACUUAAAGGAAUUGGCGGGGGAGCACUACAACCGGAG